rnacentral:rRNA from 1 species
GGCUCAGAACGAACGCUGGCGGCGCGCCUAAUACAUGCAAGUCGAGCGAGAAGGUGUAGCAAUACACUUGUAAAGCGGCGAACGGGUGAGGAAUACAUGGGUAAUCUACCAUCGAGUGGGGAAUAACUAGCCGAAAGGUUAGCUAAUACCGCAUACGUUUCCGGAACUUCGGUUUCGGAAAGAAAGCAAUACCGUGGGUAUUGCGCUCAUGGAUGGGCUCAUGUCCUAUCAGCUUGUUGGUGAGGUAACGGCUCACCAAGGCUUCGACGGGUAGCUGGUCUGAGAGGACGAUCAGCCACACUGGCACUGCGACACGGGCUAGACUCCUGCGGGAGGCAGCAGUAAGGAAUAUUGCGCAAUGGACGAAAGUCUGACGCAGCGACGCCGCGUGGGGGAUGAAGGUCUUCGGAUUGUAAACCCCUUUCGGGAGGGAAGAUGGAGUGGGUAACCACUUGGACGGUACCUCCAGAAGCAGCCACGGCUAACUUCGUGCCAGCAGCCGCGGUAAUACGAAGGUGGCAAGCGUUGUUCGGAUUCACUGGGCGUACAGGGAGCGUAGGCGGUUGGGUAAGCCCUCCGUGAAAUCUCCGGGCCUAACCCGGUAAGUGCAGAGGGGACUGCUCAGCUAGAGGAUGGGAGAGGAGCGCGGAAUUCCCGGUGUAGCGGUGAAAUGCGUAGAGA